rnacentral:misc_RNA from 1 species
UUAAGUUCAGCGGGUAGUCCUACCUGAUUCGAGGUCAACCUUGUGAAGUUGGGGGUUUUACGGCGUGGCCGCUUCAAGCUUCCCAGUGCGAGGUAAGUUACUACGCAGAGGUCGCCUCGAAGGGCCGCCAAUACUUUUAGGGGACGGCGAAGCUGCCGAUCCCCAACACCAAGCCGUCCUCCGAGAAAGAGUGAGGCUUG